rnacentral:lncRNA from 1 species
UGUAACUGAGGCUGCGAAAAGGAAGCACACAAAUCGACGCCAUUUUUCAACAGAUUAAGGUUUCUGAGCUCACGAAAUCCUAGUAUUAUUACUUUUAAUGGUUAGUAGAAAGAUAUUAAUACUAUCCAUAACAUGAUUUAUUGAUCUGAUCGGGUUAUGGCUACAUGUUUGCCUCUUUUCGAUUCUUAAAUCCAGUAAAUUUCCGUAGACCACAUGUAAAUAAACGCCCCUUUUCCAGCGUGAGACUUCAAUUUGAAUAAAACUUCAAUUUUGGCAGGUCAAUGUUAGCAUUUAAAUUUUAAUUAAAGUUUUACAGUUGUGUAAUGCAUAUGUGCUGAUUUGUUUGGUUGUCUCGAAUAGUAAAAAGGUUAAUAUUUUUAUUUUUGAACCCAAAAAGUGUGACAAAAAACACAAAAAAACAAACAAAAUAAAAAUAUAGGAAAAAAAUAACUAUCCCCAGGAUAAAGGGGGUUUCCAACUAUAUGUCCCCAUUCAAAUGCAGUGGCGGAUCCAGAGGGGGGGUUCCGGGGGUCCGCACCCCCCCUUUAUUUUUCAAUGCAUUUGAAUCGGGACAUAUUUGCACCCCUCACCCCUUUUCCUGGGCUAGCACCCCCCCCUUUCGAAAAUUCCUGCAUCCGCCACUGAAAUGCAUUGAUCUUCCCCAAAAAAGGGAGAUUCCAAUCCCUGGAACCCUAUCCCUGGAUCUGCCACUGGGAACUAUGACUAUUAAAACGUAUAAAGAAUUAGAGAAUUGUUACUAAAGGAACAAGAAUAGAGAAAAUUUACCAUAAAAUAAGUAAAAAAAAAGAGCAAAUGACAUGCUAGCUGCAGAACCGUAGCUCUUAGGUCCUUAUGUUAUUUUUUGACUAUUUGCGGACCAUAGACUACUUUUUUUCUGGGACACCUUCCUAUGCAUCCCAGAAAAAAAUCAAAAAAUAUUCCUAGCAGCAAGCCAGAGGUCUGGUCAUAAUCAUUUUGAACUUUUGAUGUGCUAAUUUAUAUAUUGAGGAAAGAAAAAUUAUGGACAAAAAGUAUAAAAAAAAUAGAGACCAAUGAACUAAAAGAUUAAAUGAUAAAGAAAUGCAGAAGACCCCAUCCAGACCCUUGUCUAUGUGAACAACAGUACUAUUAUUUUUGCUCAAUAUUGCAUAUGGGCAUGUAAAAUCUAUAAUACUAAAAUUACGAGGUCCAAUUUGUCAGCCGUCAUCACGUAAAAACGACGAAUCAAAUAAUUCAACUUUAUAUUUAACUAAUAUAGUACAAAAGUGUAGAUUAAAAAUUACACCACUCUCCAGGCCCUUUUGUUUUUGACGUAAUUAAUAUUGCCAAUAAUUAAGAAGUUCCGGUUCGAGUCCGAUACAGAUACCAAUAGUAUAUUCACCUGUUACCUAUUACCUUAUCUGUAUGUUCCGCAUCUGACAGGCUCACCACCAAACGGUGUAUUCAGGAUUAAUAUGCUAUAUACACGGUCAUAAUCACAGGGUUGACACUACUAAAUUGUCAAAUUGUUACCUAUUGUAGUAUUUUAAUCAGUAAGACUUUCAAAGAUAACAAAUCUGGACUAAAAAUAAGGCGUAUAGGUACAGUUUUCAAUUUGUUUGUGGGCAUGCAUGACAUAAAACAGCGAAUCAAAGAAUUCAACUUCAUUCAGAUGACAACUUGAAUACUAAUACUAAAAUAAGGCUUGCGCAUAGUUAUAUACUUUAAUUCAUUCACAGACCCGCGAUAUCACGGGUGUUUUCUAGUAUCUUUUAAAGAUUUCAGGUAUAUGAAAUAUUCACCAGUAGGAAAGUAUAAAUUCUGUCCCUCCUUCCAUGCUAAAAAAAAAAUUGUGAUUUAUUGUUGAAUUUUAUUGCCACCUUCAGUAUUGGCUAGGUGUUGUGGCCAGGUUUUAUUGGCAUUGGAUACAUUUAUUAUCAAUUACUGGUAUAAAGAAUUAAAGAUAUGAAUGAUUGAAUGAAAAGUUAUCUUUUAAAUAACAGAUACCUGUAAGAUAAUUUAAUGUUGCAUAUUAUGUUAUACUUUAUUUAAACAUUAUUUAUAUCUAUUAAAGAGGUUGAUAUGUUAUUAUGGUGAUGAAUUUUUAAAUACUAAAGUAAAUGAAUUUAUAAGUAGAAAAUUUUUCCAAACAUCUGUUGGUGUGUAUAAGUAUUACCUUUUCUAGAGGACCUUUUUCGGGACGUCUGGAUUGGGUAUUUUUAGCUGAGGAUUUCGGAAUUGAUCCUUCGGAUUCCAGUAUUUCCUUUCAACAUUUUUUUUUUAAUUGGGACCUCAGAAGAGCAUGUUUUUGUCAGUAGACAAUUAAAAAUAUAUUAUAAUUUACCGAUCAUAUAGCAACUCUAGAGAAGUUUGAAAUUAUAUUUAUUUGAUAAUAUCAUCUGCAUAAAUUAUAUAUUUUCAGAUAACAAUAGGAAUAAGAAGAGCAGGAUUUCUAUAUUGAGGAUUUACAUGUAUGGGACAGAGGACUAUUUGACUUGAUUUUACUUUAAAAAACUUUUUAAUUUUAACAAUAGUUCUCCUUAAUUGUUUAAAAUACUUUUUACAUAUUUUUCAUUUUAACAUUAUUUUUAUGACUUUGUAUUUAUUCAUCACUUAAUAAACUUUUAUUUCUAAACAUUUUUAUAUUUUCAAAAUAUACAUACAAUGUGAAACACUCCACCAUUUUAUAUUGAUAACGUGGGGUAAAUGUACAUGAGACACUAAACUGUUGCAAUACAAUAUUACUUAAUGUCAUUGAAAAACCUGAGAUUCAUUGAUGCAAAGCUAGCAUAUUCAUAGGGCCCCCUUUCAUAGAAAAAAAAUUGGUUGAUUAAAUAGGGAAUCACUGGAGCGGGCCCCUCCCAAGUUAGUCAGCAGCAGCAACCCUCCCCCCCAAAUAGAAAAGUUCUUGAUCGGUCACUGGUGUCAGACAUAUACAUGUAUGUACUGUAGUAUUUGAGACAUAAGAAAAAAAUAAGAUAUAAAAGUCAAAAUGAUGGUCUUUUAUUCUUUAUAAGGUUUGAAUGACUUAAAUGGAAAGUUUCUAGAAUUGUUCACUUCUCCUAGACAUAGUGAGGUCUCUCAAGUAGCCUAUCAUGACAUGACUUUUCACUGUUUUGCUUCCAAUGGCAUGUAGAUUUCAAAGUGUGGUAACCCCUGCACCUAAAUAAAUCAUUUUUCAGUAGAUACAUAUUUUUUUUUUGCAGACUUUUUGAUGAAAAGUUUAAACUAAUAUACAAAUUAGAAAAAAGAAAACUGAUCAACUUGAACCCACAACAUAUAAUUGAGCUCAGGUGCUCUGGAAGAGUAAG